GCUGCUUGCACUGUGCAUGAAGAAUUUAACAUAUUCCUGAAGAGUUUAAACCAGAAUAACAAAGGUGGCUGCCUUUCAGUAGCAGGUCAGAUGAUAAUGACAUGACUGUAGAAAUGCCAGUUUAAUCCUCCAGGCCAGGAUGGAUGCCUUUCUCAGCAGGACACCUGGACAGACAGCAUGUCCAGCAUGUAGUUGUACUGUUACAGCUGAAAGCUUCUUGAAUAGUGAUGCUCCACCAAAUCUGAAGUGACAUUACUGAUGUAAUUUAUGGCAGAGACACAGAGCUUCUGGAGGAGGAAGCUCUGGAGUUUCAGGGGACUACUGACCCAUAAAGCUCUCUCCUGGGUUACUACGCCUGGAGGAGUUUAGCAAGGAUGU